rnacentral:rRNA from 1 species
UACGAACGGUCCUAACGUUGUUCGGAAUCACUGGGCUUAAAGGGCGCGUAGGCGGUCGAACAAGUCAGGGGUGAAAUCCUACAGCUUAACUGUAGAAGUGCCUUUGAUACUGUUUGUCUUGAGGGAGAUAGGGGUGUGCGGAACUUCCAGUGGAGCGGUGAAAUGCGUUGAUAUUGGAAGGAACGCCGGGGGCGAAAGCGGCGCACUGGAUCUCUUCUGACGCUGAGGCGCGAAAGCUAGGGGAGCAAACGGG